CCCCAAAAAUUUAACAAUACAGAAAUCAUACCAAAUAUACUUUUCAACCACAAUGGUAUAAAACUAGAAACCAACUUAAAAUAAGAAGAAAACUGGAAAAUUCACAAAUGUAUGAAAAUUAAAUAACACAUCCUUGGAAAAUUAAUGGGUUAAAGAAGAAAUCAGGAGCCAGCCCAGUGGUGCAGUGAUUAAGUGCCCAAGUUCUGCUACAGUGGCCCAGGGUUUACCGGUUUGGAUCCUGGGUGCAGACACGGCACCGCUUGGCAAGCCAUGCUGUGAUAGCCAUCCCACCUAUAAAGUAGAGGAAGAUGGGCACAGAUGUUAGCUUAGGACCAGUUUUCCUCAGCAGAAAGAGGAGGACUGGCGGUAGUUAGUUCAGGGCUAUUGUUCUUUGAAAUAAAAAAGAGAAGAAAUCAAAAGGAAAAUCAAAAUAUAUCUUGAGAUAAAUGAAAAUGUAAAUAUAACGUGCAAAUUUUGAAAUAUACAAAAGCAGUUUUAAGAAGAAAGUUUAUAGUGAUGAAUUCUUACAUUAAGAAAAAAGAGAGAUCUCAAGCAAGCUAACUUUACACAUCAAUGAGUAGAAAAAGAAGAACAAACUGAGCCCAAAGUUAUCAAUAGGAAGGAAAUAACAAAGAUUAGAGGUAAAACUAAUAAAAUAUGUGGAGGCUAGAAAUAAAAUAGAUAAAAUUUUAGAAACUAAGAAAUAUUUUUAAAAGAUAAAAAUCUCAAAACAUUAACCAGAAUUGACCAAAAGAAAUGACAGAAGACCCAAAAUAAUAAAAUUAAAAAUGGAAGUCACAGCCAAAGCAAUUAGCCAAUAAAAAGAAAUAAAAUAUAUUUAAAUCUGAAAGGAAAAAUUUAAAGUUUUUCCGCUUGCAGAUGACACAAUCUUAUAUACAGAAAACUAAAGACUCCACCAAAAAAGUUGUUAGAAAUAAACAAAUUCCAUGAAGCUGCAGGAUACAAAAUCAACAUACAUAAAUCAGUUGUUUUUCUAUACACUAACAAUAAACUAUCCAAAAGACAUUAGCAAAACAAUACUAUAGGGGCCAGCCAGGUGACACAGCGGUUAAGUUUGCACUUCCACUUUGGCGGCCCAGGGUUUGCUGGUUCAGAUCCCGGGUGUGGACACCACUUGGCAUGCAAUGCUGUGGUAGGCGUCCCACUUAUAAAGUAGAGGAAGAUGGGCAGAGAUGUUAGCUCAGGGCCAGGCUUCCUCAGCAAAAAGAGGAGGACUGGCAGUAAUUAGCUCAGGGCUAAUCUUUCUCAAAAAACAAAAAAACAAAAACAAUACUCUAUACAAUAGCACCAAAAAGGAGAUAAUACUUAGGAAUAAAUUUAAGCAAUGAAGUGAAAGAUUUGCAUACUGAAAGAUAUAAAAAUUUGAUGAAAGAAACUGAUGAUACAAAUAAAUGGAAAGAAAUUCCAUGUCAUAGAUUGGAAGAAUUAAAUUUGUUAAACUGUCCAUACUACACAAAGUGUUCUCCAGAUUCAAGGGAAUCUGUAUCUAAAUUCCAAUCACACUUUUCACAGAAACAGAAAAGAAAUCCCAAAGUUCACAUGGAACCAAAAAAUCCACAAAUAUCAAUCUUAAGCAAGAAGAAGAAAGAUGGAGGCAUCACACUACCUGAUUUCAAAAGGAAUUGCAAAGCUACAGUAAUCAAGCAAUAAGUAUGGUCCUUCUAUAAAAAUGUAUACAAAAAGCAGCUCAAAUUGGAGCAAAUAUUUAAAUGUAAGACUUGAAACUGUAAAACUGCUAGAAGAAAACAUAGAGAAAAUGCUUCUUGACACUGGUCUGGGGCAAUAUUAUUUUGGAUAUGAUCUUAAACAGUCAAUAAAAUAAAAAUAGACAAGUGGGAUUGUAUAAAACUAAAUAUACUCCACAAAAAGGAAACAAUUAACAAAGUGAAGAAGAUGUGGGGAAAUAAAUUGGUAUAGACGCUAUGGAAAACAGUAUAGGGGUUCCUGCAUAUAGUAAAACCAGAACUAUCAAU
rnacentral:lncRNA from 1 species